UGGAGAGUUGGAUCCUGGCUCAGGAUGAACGCUGGCGGCGUGCCUAAUACAUGCAAGUCGAGCGAAUGAUGAGGAGCUUGCUCCUCUGAUUUAGCGGCGGACGGUGAGUAACACGUGGGUAAUCUGCCUGUAAGACGGGGAUAACUCCGGGAAACCGGGGCUAAUACCGGAUAAUAAGAGAAGAAGCAUUUCUUCUUUUUGAAAGUYGGUUUCGGCURACACUUACAGAUGAGCCCGCGGCGCAUUAGCUAGUUGGUGAGGUAACGGCUCACCAAGGCGACGAUGCGUAGCCGACCUGAGAGGGUGAUCGGCCACACUGGGACUGAGACACGGCCCAGACUCCUACGGGAGGCAGCAGUAGGGAAUCUUCGGCAAUGGGCGAAAGCCUGACCGAGCAACGCCGCGUGAGCGAUGAAGGCCUUCGGGUCGUAAAGCUCUGUUGUUAGAGAAGAACAAGUACGAGAGUAACUGCUCGUACCUUGACGGUACCUAACCAGAAAGCCACGGCUAACUAC
rnacentral:rRNA from 1 species